rnacentral:rRNA from 1 species
UAAGGAAUAUUGGUCAAUGGACGCAAGUCUGAACCAGCCAUGCCGCGUGGAGGAUGAAGGCCCUCUGGGUUGUAAACUUCUUUUAUUUGGGACGAAACACUUCUUUUCUAAGGAGCUUGACGGUACCAGAUGAAUAAGCACCGGCUAACUCCGUG